ensembl:lncRNA
GUGUGUUUCUGUUGACAUCACCUCUAGAAGAACAGAAAGAUGAGACAGAAAAGUAUGAUUGCCUAACAUACAGUUUUGGAUCUUGUGGAAGUCUGGCUUUACAUGGCACAGAAGUGAUUUACAGUUCAUCCUACCGAGAAAAAGAACUUCUAGCCUUUGAUUCUGUCUACCUGAAAAGAGAAGACAACCAAACCUUCAGUGGUGUGUUCAAUUCCACAUAGGAAAUAAGAAGAAGAGAUAAGAUUCUUGGAUUCAUUUCUAGCAAAGGAGGAAAGAAAGACAAGCACAUAAUUGGGAGAUGUCAGAAGCCUAAAGCUUGUGAGAAUUAAUUUUGCAAAAGAAUCACGGAGCUUCAGCACAAGACUACUUCCCUACAACCUCCUCAUCCAGUAACUUUGAUCAAGCAUUUCUUCAGUGAGAUUUAAAGAACAGAUUACUUCAAGUGUAUUACAUGAAGCUGCAUAAGCCGAUUUAAGCCUGCAUCAUGCAUUUUGGAUAGUCUCCGAUGGAUCAAGACUUCAGGUUGUGUUAUAGAAUCAGCAAUAAUCUUAGACAUUUGACUUAAAUGUUUCCACUAUAGGAAUUUUUUCUGGAUGCUGAUUUGGAUCUCAAACAGAAGUCACCUAACAUGAAUGAGACCUUCGUGGAUCAUUUCGUUCUGUUUUACUCUGGAACAAAUAUAAGCAUGCUGAGAUCUAGAGACCUGGUGUUCCACUGUAAUUGGGUAUGCAUUUAAAUUAGAGAACUGUGAGCUGAAAGAUACUUAUUUUAGCAUCAUUUUCAGUUAGCCAGGGGAAAAUCUGCAAACCCUGUCUAACCAGCUGGGCCUGAAGAGCUUAGAGGUUGGAUGCACCACUGGCAGAUAUCACCAUUUUUUUUUUAAUGUUGGUAUUUUGUUUCUGCCACACCUCUAGCUGUAAAGCAUUGCAAAUAAAUCCUAUUAUUUUUUCUUCUUUUCUAAUGUAUUAUUUCCACACUUAUGAUUUCAGAAAGAUGCUAUUUCCAAAGUUUGGGUUUAAAGCUUAGCAUUUCUUGGAUGACACCUGUCUCAAUGUUUUAUCAUAUAUAUAGGUGAAUUUCCAUUUACAGCUUAGCUCUUGCAAUGCUACUUGUUUCAUCUUUGAAUUCAGUGUGUAUAUCUGCAUUGUUAAAAGAAGCUUCCCUUUCCCUCCUACCUUUUUAUUAUUAUUUUUGUUUAUUUUUCAUUUUUCUCUCUAAAAUGAAGCUUUUUUGGAAAGGAGAAAAAGAAGUUAAUCUCUUAACUCCAUCAUGUAACUAACGCUAGACAUGUUCAGAAUAUUUCAUGAAUCUUAGUAUAACUGGUGAAAUAGAUUUUUUUCUCUGAGGUUCUUUUCUUGAGUAUCAGGAACAGUAACAUUGUUACUAAGAUGCGGAUGAAGAACAGUUUAUGUUGCAUUAAUGUCAACGAGAAUUUCAAAAGUCUCUGUAGAACUAGCUAAUUGGGAAUGUUUACAGAAGCAAUUCUUAGAAAGAAAUUUUUCAUGUAAAACAGUUUCAUUAUUGUAAUAAAUGAACACAAAUAUGGGUUAUACUUUGCUCUUUAAAAGUAAUAAAAUUUUCUUU